GUGCUCGCUUCGGCAGCACAUCUACUAAAAUUGAACAAUAUAGAGAUUAGCAUGACCCCUGUGCAAGGAUGACACACAAAUUUGUGAAGCGUUCCAGAUUAAA
ensembl:snRNA U6 U6 spliceosomal RNA